UUCGGGGUGGAUUAGUGGCGAACGGGUGAGUAACACGUGGGCAAUCUGCCCUUCACUCUGGGACAAGCCCUGGAAACGGGGUCUAAUACCGGAUACGACCUGCCGAGGCAUCUCGGCGGGUGGAAAGCUCCGGCGGUGAAGGAUGAGCCCGCGGCCUAUCAGCUUGUUGGUGGGGUAAUGGCCUACCAAGGCGACGACGGGUAGCCGGCCUGAGAGGGCGACCGGCCACACUGGGACUGAGACACGGCCCAGACUCCUACGGGAGGCAGCAGUGGGGAAUAUUGCACAAUGGGCGCAAGCCUGAUGCAGCGACGCCGCGUGAGGGAUGACGGCCUUCGGGUUGUAAACCUCUUUCAGCAGGGAAGAAGCGAAAGUGACGGUACCUGCAGAAGAAGCGCCGGCUAACUACGUGCCAGCAGCCGCGGUAAUACGUAGGGCGCAAGCGUUGUCCGGAAUUAUUGGGCGUAAAGAGCUCGUAGGCGGCUUGUCACGUCGGGUGUGAAAGCCCGGGGCUUAACCCCGGGUCUGCAUCCGAUACGGGCAGGCUAGAGUGUGGUAGGGGAGAUCGGAAUUCCUGGUGUAGCGGUGAAAUGCGCAGAUAUCAGGAGGAACACCGGUGGCGAAGGCGGAUCUCUGGGCCAUUACUGACGCUGAGGAGCGAAAGCGUGGGGAGCGAACAGGAUUAGAUACCCUGGUAGUCCACGCCGUAAACGUUGGGAACUAGGUGUUGGCGACAUUCCACGUCGUCGGUGCCGCAGCUAACGCAUUAA
rnacentral:rRNA from 1 species